rnacentral:rRNA from 1 species
UCGCAAAUUACCCCACUCUCGGCAAGAGGAGGUAGUGACGAGAAAUAACGAGACCGUUCUCACAAGAGGCCGGUCAUCGGAAUGGGUACAAUCCAAACCCUUGGCACGAGUAUCUAUGAGAGGGCAAGUCUGGUGCCAGCAGCCGCGGUAAUUCCAGCUCUCAAAAUGCAUAGAACCAUUGCUGCGGUUAAAAAGCUCGUAGUUGGAUCUGCGCCGGCGGGCGAGUCCCCCCUCACCGGGGCGGCACCCGCUCCCGCCGGCUAUGCGGCGGUGCUGGUGGGCGGCCCAUCAAAGCCGCCCAUCCCACCCCCACGUUUACUUUGAACAAAUCAGAGUGCUCAGCACAGGCGUCUCGCCUGGAUGUUCGUGCAUGGAAUAAUGGAAGAGGAUUUCGGUCCUGCUUUUAUUGGUUUUGAGCGACCGAGAUAAUGGUUAACAGAGACAAACGGGGGCAUUCGUAUUGCUGCGUGAGAGGUGAAAUUCUUGGACCGCAGCAAGACGGACAACAGCGAAAGCAUUUGCCAAGAGUGUCUUCAUUAAUCAAGAACGAAAGUCAGAGGUUCGAAGGCGAUCAGAUACCGCCCUAGUUCUGACCGUAAACGAUGCCAACUAGCGAUCCGCCGGCGGAUUCCAAACGCCCUGGUGGGGAGCUUCCCGGAAACGAUUAAGUCUUCCGGUUCCGGGGGAAGUAUGGUUGCAAAGCUGAAACUUAAAGGAAUUGACGGAAGGGCACCACCAGGAGUGGAGCCUGCGGCUUAAUUUGACUA